rnacentral:misc_RNA from 1 species
GCUGAAGAACGCAGCGAAAUGCGAUAAGUAAUGUGAAUUGCAGAAUUCAGUGAAUCAUCGAAUCUUUGAACGCACAUUGCGCCCCCUGGUAUUCCGGGGGGCAUGCCUGUCCGAGCGUCAUUACAACCCUCAAGCUCAGCUUGGUAUUGGGCCCCGCCGACCCGGCGGGCCCUAAAGUCAGUGGCGGUGCCGUCCGGCUCCGAGCGUAGUAAUUCUUCUCGCUCUGGAGGUCCGGUCGUGUGCUCGCCAGCAACCCCCAAUUUUUUUCAGGUUGACCUCGGAUCAGGUAGGGAUACCCGCUGAACUUAAGCAUAUCAAUAAGCGGAGGA